AGAAACUUAGGUUAACCCACAACUAAACCAAAGGCCUUCAAAGCCUUAAAUAAGAGCUAGGUCCUCUUAGUUUCUG
rnacentral:tRNA from 1 species